AACGAACGCUGGCGGCAUGCCUAACACAUGCAAGUCGAACGAGACCUUCGGGUCUAGUGGCGCACGGGUGCGUAACGCGUGGGAAUCUGCCCUUCGGUUCGGAAUAACUCAGGGAAACUUGAGCUAAUACCGAAUGAUGUCUUCGGACCAAAGAUUUAUCGCCGAAGGAUGAGCCCGCGUCGGAUUAGCUAGUUGGUGAGGUAAAGGCUCACCAAGGCGACGAUCCGUAGCUGGUCUGAGAGGAUGAUCAGCCACACUGGGACUGAGACACGGCCCAGACUCCUACGGGAGGCAGCAGUGGGGAAUAUUGGACAAUGGGCGAAAGCCUGAUCCAGCAAUGCCGCGUGAGUGAUGAAGGCCUUAGGGUUGUAAAGCUCUUUUACCCGGGAUGAUAAUGACAGUACCGGGAGAAUAAGCCCCGGCUAACUCCGUGCCAGCAGCCGCGGUAAUACGGAGGGGCUAGCGUUGUUCGGAAUUACUGGGCGUAAAGCGCACGUA
rnacentral:rRNA from 1 species